AGAGUUUGAUCAUGGCUCAGAACGAACGUUAGCGGUGUGGAUUAGGCAUGCAAGUCGCGCGCGAAAGUCUUCGGACGAGUAAAGCGGCGAAAGGGUGAGUAAUACGUAGUCAACCUGCCCUCGAGAUCGGGAUAACCACUGGAAACGGUGGCUAAUACCGGAUGGUCCCACCGGGAGGAUUCUCCUGGUGCGUAAACGGUAGCGAAAGCUUCUGCUCGGGGAGGGGAUUGCGGGCUAUCAGCUAGUUGGCGGGGUGAUGGCCCACCAAGGCGAUGACGGCUAGCCGGUCUGAGAGGACGAUCGGCCACACUGGGACUGAGACACUGCCCAGACUCCUACGGGAGGCUGCAGUCGAGAAUCUUCCGCAAUGGGCGAAAGCCUGACGGAGCGACACCGCGUGCAGGAUGAAGGCCUUCGGGUUGUAAACUGCUGUCACGCUAUAGGAACCGCUUGGUGUUAACAGUGCCAAGUCUGACUAAAGCGAGAGGAAGCACCGGCUAACUCCGUGCCAGCCGCCGCGGUAAUACA
rnacentral:rRNA from 1 species